rnacentral:rRNA from 1 species
ACGGAAGGCAGCAGUGGGGAAUAUUGGGCAAUGGGCGCAAGCCUGACCCAGCAACGCCGCGUGAAGGAAGAAGGCUUUCGGGUUGUAAACUUCUUUUACCAGGGACGAAGGACGUGACGGUACCUGGAGAAAAAGCCACGGCUAACUACGUGCCAGCAGCCGCGGUAAUACGUAGGUGGCAAGCGUCGUCCGGAUUUACUGGGUGUAAAGGGCGUGUAGGCGGAGAUGCAAGUCAGGAGUGAAAUCUAUGGGCUCAACCCAUAAAUUGCUUUUGAAACUGUAUCCCUUGAGUAUCGGAGAGGCAGGCGGAAUUCCUAGUGUAGCGGUGAAAUGCGUAGAUAUUAGGAGGAACACCAGUGGCGAAGGCGGCCUGCUGGACGACAACUGACGCUGAGGCGCGAAAGCGUGGGGAGCAAACAGGAUUAGAUACCCUGGUA